AGGGAACCCAAGAGUCCAGGAGCAGUGGUGGGCAGCAGCAGCUCAGCCUCUGAAACCCACGCUUGUCAAGCUUCCCAAGGACAACACUUUUUUGCCCUUCUUGUUUCUAAUUAAAAAGAAUUAGUCAGCAGAGUGGCAUGCUUAUGGACAGUGCCGAGUGACAUUACUGCAUGGCUUUAUUCAUCAAUGGGAGGGGCAGAUGCCGUCCUACUGGAGACUGGCACAGAAUCUUGUUCUCUGCGACUAUCUGCUUGGAAGCCCAAGCCACCUACCAGCUGAACCAAUGACUCAUUAUACUUUUUUCUGACGGUUUGGCUGGACCCGCCAAGAAAAGGCAUCGUGCAGAAGCACUGUACAGGCCAGGAAUGGGGUUGUCAUCUCCACUCCAUCCUGACUCUGGAGAAAACAACACUCUCUCUCCCACAAAUGCCUACAAGAGGCCGGAGAGACGAAAACUGCCUUGGCAAUGGGUCAUACCGGCCCUCAGCCCUGGUCUCUCUUUCUGGGCUGAUAGGGAGGGGCCUGAGUCCAUUCCACAGCCUCCAUGGAAGGCAGCCUUUCAGAAACUAAAGGGAAUGUCCCCUGCCAGCCCACAACAGCCCCGAAGAAGGCAUGGUCUAAAUCUGUAGACAGUCAGCUAAGCCAGUUUUAGGAAGAGCUGUCAGUCCACUUGUGGCCUCAGAGCCUGACAGUCAAUAGUCACUACCAUCAUUACCACCCAUGACACCCACCUGGCCAACGCCCUCAUUGCCUCCACCAAAACCAAAUGUCACCACCACCACCAAUUCCAACACUGACACAAAUGCCCUCAAUUACCACCCCCAACCUAUCACCUUUGACAUCACCAUGAUGGUUAUUACUGUCAUUACUCU
rnacentral:lncRNA from 1 species